rnacentral:rRNA from 1 species
UACAGAGGGUGCGAGCGUUGUCCGGAAUCACUGGGCGUAAAGGGCGCGUAGGUGGUGGCUUAAGCGUGCGGUGAAGCUCGGAGCUCAACUCCGAGUCGGCCGUGCGAACUGGGCUCACUGGAGCAUAGUAGAGGCAGGUGGAAUUCCGGGUGUAGCGGUGGAAUGCGUAGAGAUCCGGAAGAACACCGGUGGCGAAGGCGGCCUGCCUGGCUAUGGCUGACACUGGAGGCGCGACAGCGUGGGGAGCAAACAGGAUAGACUACCCAGUAGAUCCACGACAGUCC